GUUCUCACAUCAGCAGCACAUAUACUAAAAUUGGAAAGAUACAGAGAAGAUUAGCAAGGAUGCAAAUUCAUGAAGUGUUCUAUAUUAAU
rnacentral:snRNA from 1 species